CUGAGCUAUGAAGUCACACAGUGGUGAGCAGAAAUAAACACUUGGCCCUGAAGGUGCGAAAUUUAACCAAAAAACAGACACAUAAGUUGUCUCGAGAUAUGAUUAGCCAAAAUAACUCAGUUGGGAGAGUGUCAGACUGAAGAUCUGAAGGUCCCUGGUUCAACCCAUGAUUUCUGCGUUGGUGCAAGAUUAGCAUUUUUUUCUUUACUUCUUUAGAAUUGUGACCAGGGAUAUACCGGGCGGAAAGCGAAGUUUAAAUUUAAAUAUCAAAGCCCAGCAAAUUGCUUUUAAAAGAGCCAUUUAAUGCAUAAAAAGAAAUAUUUAUUUAAAAGUGUAAGGUUUCGUCUUGACUCUCAAGACGUCAUCAAACAAUAUUGAAUUAUAAUAGCUAUUUACAUAAUAUUAAAUUACAUGGUGGGAUGAAAACGUGUUAGUAAAUAUUGGAUAAGAUGGUAUGACGUGGGAUAAGUAGAAACACGAAAGAAACAAAAUAACAAACAAAACACAAACAAUCAUAAAGUAUACAGACGUGAGGACGGACGAAAUUAGAUUAAAGCAACUGAAGGACAAUGGAGUUUCCUUGGACGUUAAGAGAUGAUUUCAUUUUGUUGAUUAAGAGGCUUUCGUGAAUAAGAAGUUCUUGUGAGUCUGAGAUGAAGAAUGUAUUUUAAAUCCUCGAAGGUGGCGGUGUGUCC